GGCGGGCUGCGCGGUUCGACAGGGAUAACUUAUUCCCCGGGGCCUUACUCAUCCCUUAGGGAGCUGUCCCUGCUGCGGUCCGUGGACUGUGGCACACGGCGCCCACCUACUUUGUAGGUUCCCGGGAUCAACCUUCUCAUCGGCCGAGGUGGCUCGCCA
rfam:Aureimonas sp. AT20, complete genome.